rnacentral:rRNA from 1 species
UACGUAGGUGGCAAGCGUUGUCCGGAUUUAUUGGGUUUAAAGGGUGCGUAGGCGGUCCCAUAAGUCAGUGGUGAAAUACUCUAGCUUAACUAGAGGGGUGCCAUUGAUACUGCGGGACUUGAGUGGAGUUGAAGCGGGCGGAAUUGACGGUGUAGCGGUGAAAUGCUUAGAUAUCGUCAAGAACACCGAUAGUGAAGACAGCUCACUAAGCUCAAACUGACGCUGAGGCACGAAAGUGUGGGGAUCAAACAGG